GACGAACGCUGGCGGCGUGCUUGACACAUGCAAGUCGAACGGAAAGGCCUGCUUUCCCUUGUGUAUUGCGGGUACUCGAGUGGCGAACGGGUGAGUAACACGUGAGUGAUCUGCCCCCAACUUGGGUAUAAGCCUGGGAAACUGGGUCUAAUUCCCGAUAGGACUGCAGGGUGGUGCCUGUGGUGGAAAACGAUUUUCUAGUGGUUGGGGAUGAGCUCGCGGCCUAUCAGCGUGUUGGUGGGGUAAUGGCCUACCAAGGCGGCGACGGGUAGCCGGCAUGAGAGGGGGGACGGCCGAAUUGGGACUGGGACACGGCCCAGACUCCUACGGGAGGCAGCAGUGGGGAAUAUUGGACAAUGGGCGGAAGCCUGAUGCAGCGACGCCGCGUGGGGGAUGACGGCCUUCGGGUUGUAAACUCCUUUCGACCGAGAGGAAGCCACCUGGUUGGAAGGGUGGUGACGGUAGUGGUAGAAGAAGCACCGGCUAACUACGUG
rnacentral:rRNA from 1 species